rnacentral:rRNA from 1 species
UGAGGAAUUUUCUGCAAUGGGCGCAAGCCUGACAGAGCAAUACCGCGUGAGGGAUGAAGGCCUAUGGGUUGUAAACCUCUUUUCUCAAGGAGGAAGAUCUGACGUUACUUGAGGAAUAAGCAUCGGCUAACCCUGUGCCAGCAGCCGCGGUAAUACAGGGGAUGCAAGUGUUAUCCGGAAUUAUUGGGCGUAAAGCGUCUGCAGGUGGAUAAGUAAGUCUUAUGUCAAAUUUCUAGGCUCAACCUGGAGUCGGCAAAAGAAACUACUUAUCUCGAGUAUGGUAGGGGUAAAGGGAAUUUCAAGUGGAGCGGUGAAAUGCGUAGAUAUUUGAAAGAACUCCAAUAGCGAAGGCACUUUACUGGGCCAUUACUGACACUCAGAGACGAAAGCUAGGGGAGCAAACAGG